rnacentral:tRNA from 1 species
GUCCCCGUAGCUCAGCCGGAUAGAGCAAGCGUUUCCUAAACGCUAGGUCGGCGGUUCGAAUCCGUCCGGGGACG